AGCAGCCGCGGUAAUUCCAGCUCCAAUAGCGUAUAUUAAAGUUGUUGCAGUUAAAAAGCUCGUAGUUGAAUUUCGGGAUCAAUAUGUCGGUCGUGCCUCGGUACGUACUGGCGUAAUUGGUUUCUCCCUUCUGAAGAACCGCGAUGUCAUUAAUUUGGUGUCGUGGGGAAUCAGGACUGUUACUUUGAAAAAAUUAGAGUGUUUAAAGCAGGCUCGCGCUUGAAUACAUUAGCAUGGAAUAAUGAAAUAGGACGUUUGAUUCUAUUUUGUUGGUUUCUAGGAUCGACGUAAUGAUUAAUAGGGAUAGUUGGGGGCAUUAGUAUUCAAUUGUCAGAGGUGAAAUUCUUGGAUUUAUUGAAGACUACCUACUGCGAAAGCAUUUGCCAAGGAUGUUUUCAUUAAUCAAGAACGAAAGUUAAGGGGAUCGAAGACGAUCAGAUACCGUCGUAGUCUUAACCAUAAACUAUGCCGACUAGGGAUCGGAUGAUGUUAAUUUUUAAUGUACUCAUUCGGCGCCUUA
rnacentral:rRNA from 1 species